GCAACAACGGGCUGUGUGCUGUAUAGCAUCCUUCAUUGGCUGGGUAGCUGUGUGGUUGUACAUGUGGUUGCCUUCGUUUGCCUAUGAUUCAGUUUCACUGGAAAUCUUCCUCCGGCACUUUUGUGUUCAUUAUGAAGGUCUUGUUUCGGAGAAGGUUCCAGGCACCGUAUGAUAAUGAAUUCUAAUAAUAACUAUUCUAAUAAGGAAAAUGUGUUGUCUCAUCUUGAUACCUCAUUCAGAGAUUGUGCAGCUGUGGUUCAGGAUCCCCUAAAGUUUUGCAAGGAAGCGGCCAAAGACGGAGUAUGAUACUGUGGGACUGCUAUGGAGGUUGGUGUCUUCAGAGGUCCAUCUAAGCAAAGGGAUUUUGGGGAACUGUACAUAAUGGAGCUCUGAACCACAGAGGGGAACCAACACUCAGCCUCACGCACUCCCGAAGGCCGCUGGCGGGGGAAUCGGAGCGGGAAGUCCCCUCUUAUCGGCGCCAGCUACCUCACAGCCUGAAUAAUAUAUCCACAUUUCCAGUAAUCACGCUUGGCUAAGGCCUGGCCAACAGCCCAGAGUCCAGUAAUGACAUUCAGCAAGGGCUAUACUUUAUUACAUAACGAGGCAUGUGUGUAGUCCCCUUUCCGUACUGCAAGAUUAAUGACAGAACACUAUUGUCAAAGUUAGGAAAACAACCACGUCCCGGAUCUCUCAACACUCCGCUUUUCUGUACCUAUGAGUUCUACAUGCCUUUGCUUUCUUCGUGUAUGAUGAUGUCAUUUAACGGAAUGUGUAUGGUGAGUGACCACCAAUGUACAAUCCAUCAGCUGUAAUGUAUUAUUCACUGCAGUGGAAAAGUGUAAUUUCUAUGGACUGUGCAUGCCAUAGUGUAAGGACCUGAUAGUAACACCCAACCCUUACCACCUCUGACCCAAACCGAAGGCGAACCCGAAGUUAAUCUUAUCUUACCGUAACCGGCCCAACUUGGCUCAAUCAGUUGCAGAGUGGACACAAUUGUACAAUACCCAAUAAUUUUUGCUUAGCUAUGUACCUUAUAUUCUUUCACAACUACAUAAUAUUAGACCAUUAAUAGGCCACAUUAAUUGGAAGACUGAAGAUCAAUGUAUCCAGUAGCCAUAAUUUACCGUUCCUUUUCUAAUGUAGCACAGAUAGUGAGCCCUUCUGGAAAAAGCUAAAUAAAAUUUGCCUUUUACCAUGUGAAAAUCACAAUUUCACAUGUGAAUUUAACAUUUUCAAAUAUGAAUUAAAAUAUUCACUUGGGAAAAAGUUGAACUUGACAUUUUCAUACAUACAUCAUUUUCAUUUUUCACAUUUUAACAACACAAUAUGAACAACAAUUUUGUGAAAACGAAACGAAAAUGUGACUUGAAAAAGCAUCAGUGGGAUUAUUUUUAUAGUUCACAUGUGGCCUCUUCACAUGUUGGAUGUUCUCACGUGGUUUUUGGAUGUUCGAAGAUGUGAUUUUUUUGUAAGGGAAUCUUCCAGUGUAUGAAUGACACAAAAUUGAGAAACUAUAUGCACAUUAGUUUAACUUGAUUGAAUGCCUUAAUACAGUCAUUCCAGUUCCAGAAAUAAAUGACAUUUACAUCCUCUUCUGGGUUAAAAUACACUUACUGUAGCAAAGUGUCUCCUCAUGCAGCUAAUUUUCUCAGCAGGGUAACACAGUCUGAGUGUUCUAAUUUGCAGGUAGGUGUAUCCUGAAUGAAUUAACUUAUGCUUUACUGAAUCUGAAAAAAGCCAUAUUAUAAUCGGCCCAGCCUGCCCCAAAACCUGUUUCUCUGUCAUGAAAUAAAAGUCAAC